rnacentral:rRNA from 1 species
CGACCUGAGAGGGUGAUCGGCCACAUUGGGACUGAGACACGGCCCAAACUCCUACGGGAGGCAGCAGUAGGGAAUCUUCGGCAAUGGACGAAAGUCUGACCGAGCAACGCCGCGUGAGUGAAGAAGGUUUUCGGAUCGUAAAACUCUGUUGUUAGAGAAGAACAAGGAUGAGAGUAACUGUUCAUCCCUUGACGGUAUCUAACCAGAAAGCCACGGCUAACUACGUGCCAGCAGCCGCGGUAAUACGUAGGUGGCAAGCGUUGUCCGGAUUUAUUGGGCGUAAAGCGAGCGCAGGCGGUUUCUUAAGUCUGAUGUGAAAGCCCCCGGCUCAACCGGGGAGGGUCAUUGGAAACUGGGAGACUUGAGUGCAGAAGAGGAGAGUGGAAUUCCAUGUGUAGCGGUGAAAUGCGUAGAUAUAUGGAGGAACACCAGUGGCGAAGGCGGCUCUCUGGUCUGUAACUGACGCUGAGGCUCGAAAGCGUGGGGAGCAAACAGGAUUAGAUACCCUGGUAGUCCACGCCGUAAACGAUGAGUGCUAAGUGUUGGAGGGUUUCCGCCCUUCAGUGCUGCAGCUAACGCAUUAAGCACUCCGCCUGGGGAGUACGACCGCAAGGUUGAAACUCAAAGGAAUUGACGGGGGCCCGCACAAGCGGUGGAGCAUGUGGUUUAAUUCGAAGCAACGCGAAGAACCUUACCAGGUCUUGACAUCCUUUGACCACUCUAGAGAUAGAGCUUCCCCUUCGGGGGCAAAGUGACAGGUGGUGCAUGGUUGUCGUCAGCUCGUGUCGUGAGAUGUUGGGUUAAGUCCCGCAACGAGCGCAACCCUUAUUGUUAGUUGCCAUCAUUUAGUUGGGCACUCUAGCAAGACUGCCGGUGACAAACCGGAGGAAGGUGGGGAUGACGUCAAAUCAUCAUGCCCCUUAUGACCUGGGCUACACACGUGCUACAAUGGGAAGUACAACGAGUCGCAAAGUCGCGAGGCUAAGCUAAUCUCUUAAAGCUUCUCUCAGUUCGGAUUGUAGGCUGCAACUCGCCUACAUGAAGCCGGAAUCGCUAGUAAUCGCGGAUCAGCACGCCGCGGUGAAUACGUUCCCGGGCCUUGUACACACCGCCCGUCACACCACGAGAGUUUGUAACACCCGAAGUCGGUGAGGUAACCUUUUGGAGCCAGCCGCCUAAGGUGGGAUAGAUGAUUGGGGUGAAGUCGUAACAAGGUAGCCGUAUCGGAAGGUGCGGCUGGAUCACCUCCUUUCUAAGGAA